AGAUGGAGAGAGAGAAAGAGACAGAAAGACCUUCAGUUUCCCCUAACUCUUGUGAUAAACUAUGAGGUUCACAAAUGUAUUCUGAACUUCGAAGUGGCCAAACAGGGAAACAUGAUCAAGUAUUAGUAUCCAAAAAGUAAAACAAAUUAGUUGCAUAGAAGGGACACAACUUCUCCUAACAUUGAGACUUAAGAUAUAUUUUUAAAUGGGUCUUUGUAAAGAGUGCUUUUGGAGUGAUUUCAUGAUCGUCAUUCUAAACAACACUCCUGAAAUAAAUAGAAAACGGAGCACUGUAUAACUCUUUUGCUGUAAUUUUUCUCAGUGUAAACCAGGGCAUAAUGCCAAGUACAAGUCAGUAAGAGAAAUGUACAAAGAUUCAAAGACUGGCUUAGAAAAAGUUGGCUUUCUAACUCUCCUAAUAAAAUGACUAUUUAAAAAAAAAUUUCCCACACAACACAGAUGUAUAAAAUGACUACAUUUAAAUGCGGGCCUUCUGGAGAUACCUUAGCCGAAAGGUACACUUCUAACAGUAGGAAGCUUGGCACCUUGGUAACAGAUUCCAAUAGAAUCUGUUGGAAAUUCUACUGGGGGAAGGUGAUAUGGCUUUGUGGCUACUCCUAUGCACUGGAUUCCAUCCUUUCUUACCUACCCACGGACUUUGCUCCUCUACUUAGCUUUGUGCCUAUAUACCGGCAACUGAAAUCUGUCCUAGGGGCACUCAUAGACAUAUGAACUCCAGCUCUUCAGGCCUCUCUUCGAGAACACCACCUCUAACUCAUCAGGCAUCUGCCAGUCAUCUACUAAAGAGCUCUGCUUUGAAAAGACUCCUCAUCUACUGAGCUAAGAAAUACAAGUACGUAUAAAGGCAUACCUUGGAGAUACUGUGGGUUUUGUUCCAGGUCACCAAAAUAAAACAAACAGAGCAAUAAGGAAGCUACUGGAAGAUAUGCUCCACCAAAAUGAAGAAUAAAAUCGAGAAAGAAUAUGACAUGAGAUGAAACACAAAAGAGGAGGGACAGGAACUCCCAGGAGAACAAGGUGGUAAGCCUUCAGAGUGUCCUAGGUCCAGACUGAGCUCGAUGGAGGGCUCUAGGACGGAGGCCUCCAGGGUAAAAAAUGUAACUUGUAAGUGUGGAAAACUGUACUGACAGAAAUUUUACAAAACUACAUUAAGGGUUAUGAAAUGACUUAGCCAAAGAUUUGAAGAAAAAUAAGCAAAUUUUAAAAUGAGGCAUUUCAUAAACCCC
rnacentral:lncRNA from 1 species